GGUGCUCUUGCUGCGUUCAGGGCGCAGUGUCCCGUCAGGAGUCCGCAGAAAGAUUCGCUGCUGCACACCGGAAUUCAACACAACAAUGGCUUCUCCCUGUCCGGAAAGCAACUCCAAACAGUCCAGCAGCACUGUGGGGUCCGCGUCGCCUCGCUUCCAGCAGCAGAGCCCGGGCAGCAGCAUGCAGGAAACCAACACCUGCUGGAGAUGUCAAAAUGAAACAGGUAAACGAAAAGCUCUGAAGCUGAAUUUCGCCAACCCUCCAGUGAAAGCGGCCUCCAGGCUCCCGCUCCAUCCAACCGCCCCCCCUUUCCAGAAUCCUCACAUAGAGCGUCUACGCACACACAGCAUCGAGUCAUCUGGGAAGCUGAAAAUCUCUCCGGAGCAGCACUGUGACUUUACAGCAGAGGACCUCAGGGACCUUGGGGAGAUUGGGCGCGGAGCCUACGGUUCUGUCAACAAGAUGGUACACAAACCCACAGAACAGAUCAUGGCUGUCAAGAGGAUCCGCUCCACGGUGGAUGAGAAGGAGCAGAAGCAGCUGCUGAUGGAUCUGGACGUGGUGAUGAGGAGCAGCGACUGUCCCUACAUCGUCCAGUUUUACGGGGCCCUCUUCAGAGAGGGCGACUGUUGGAUUUGUAUGGAACUUAUGGCUACCUCAUUAGACAAAUUCUACAAAUAUGUAUAUUGUGCAUUAGAUGACGUCAUUCCAGAGGAAAUAUUAGGCAAAAUAACAUUAGCGACCGUUAAAGCACUGAACCACUUGAAAGAAAAUUUGAAAAUUAUUCACAGAGACAUCAAACCCUCCAACAUUCUAAUGGACCGGACAGGAAACAUCAAGCUGUGUGACUUCGGCAUCAGCGGGCAGCUGGUGGACUCCAUCGCCAAGACCCGAGACGCCGGCUGCAGGCCCUACAUGGCGCCGGAGAGGAUCGACCCCAGCGCGUCCCGGCAGGGCUACGAUGUGCGCUCUGAUGUGUGGAGCCUGGGGAUCACUCUGUGUGUGUUUGCUUUCAGUACGAGCUGGCCACGGGAAGGUUCCCCUACCCCAAGUGGAACAGUGUGUUCGAUCAGCUGACACAGGUGGUGAAAGGGGAGCCCCCCCAGCUCAGCAGCUCAGAGGACAGGCAGUUCUCCCCUAAGUUCAUCAACUUUGUUAACCUCAGCCUCACAAAGGAUGAAUCCAAACGGCCCAAGUACAAGGAGCUUCUGAAACAUCCCUUCAUUCUGAUGUACGAAGAGCGCUUUGUGGACGUCGCCAGUUACGUAUGUCGCAUCCUGGAUCAGUUCCCCCCCUCUCCCCUCUCCCCCAUGUUUGUGGACUGAUGGAGGGAACACCGGAGCCCUCAGUUAUUCAGAGGAACUGAGUCUCACCGCCUGAAGCUCAAACAUCUUCACUCGUCUGCAGCUGGGGAAAAUUAGAUGCAUCUUUUUAUGAAGCGAAACCGGAAUAAAGCGCGUGUGUGUGAAUGUACAAAAUAUGCAAUCUGUGAGACAACAUGUACAUUCAUCAAACCUAAUGUCAGCCGCAGUAUGCAUCAUUGUUUCAGUUAGAGCUCAGCUGAAAUCCUUUACCAAGAUGAUCAUUACACUUUUCUGUGUUUAGUUAUUAACAGAAUUGCAGCUUCUGUCCUUCAGUCCGAUAGAUCAUCGAUAUUUUUGUCUAAUGCUCAGUAAAAAAACACUUAUCUUCUU